ensembl:lncRNA
CUACUGUGUGGAACAGUUUGAUAAAACAUCCUGGUUUGGGAAAGAAAUUUUUAAAACUCUCUAGGCUAAGAGAUAACAAAUAAGCUUUCUUUUAUCUCUAUAGUUUUUUUUUUCCUGUAUCACUUCAUCGAUGGAAUAUUAGUCACCCUUGAUCUGUCUUAACCACUUCUUUGGACACUGCUUUUGUCAAUUUCCUAAAGUCUUUCCUCUUGAACGAAUUGGAUUCUCCAGAGGAAGAGCUUCGAAACUCUUGCCUGAAGGAUAGAGACAAGGCUGCUGACAUCCUGGAAGCAGAAUGAGAGAAAAAAGAAAGAGCAGGAGGAAGAGGAGGAGGAGGAGGAGGAGGAAUACAACACUAAAUAGAGACCAAUUCCCAUGGCUGACAGAAGAUCCUUGGGAGAGGAUGGGUUAGCAGGAGUGAGGAAAGCCAGAGUGAAGAGAGGAUGCCUUGAGGGACAUCACACAUCUUAGGAAUAUGAGAACAGAAGCUGUAUAAGUAAAUAUGGUAGACCAGAAAGACAAUAGGAGACUGUUUCAUUGUGACAAUUUCCCAGAUAAAUAAAUUUCCCAUUCAUUUAUCUCAAUAAAUAAAUCCCUAAGUGUUUCAGUCAUUUCACUUAGGUUUUCUGGUACAGAUGACACACCCCUAACUAAUGCUCUAUAGCCAAAUAGAAUGAUGCAGGAGUUAACGGAGUUCAUGUCCCAGCCAUGUGGACAUGUAGAUGUGUGGCCCCUAGGAAGUCAUGAAAGCAUCUUUGAUGCCAUUUAGUUCCUCUUUAAAAUAGAAAUAGUACUGUCAAGCUGAGUUUUAAAUGAGAUAUUUUAUGAGAAAGCCGGGGGUUGUCAAUCAGGCAGGGAGAACCCAUACAAAUUACCAGGGCUGCCAUCUCAGGGGGCCUAGAUCCUGUCUGGGUUGCGUAGUAAUACAAAUGCUGAAUGGAGACCAUUUCCCCACCACUGUCCUUAUUGGGAAAGCCCCUAAUAAAUUUUUUAAACAGGAAGCAGCUAUCAGAAGCCUUGGUAAAAAUAUUUUAUAAAGGACCAUACUAAUAUUGGGGAAUAUUAAAGUACCAGUUAAAUAACUCCAUUGUACAACUUACAAAAGCAGUCACUGGGAUGAAGGGCUCUCAAUGUUCUCAUUAAAUGGAAGGGAGAAGGGAGGAUUUUCUCAGUUCCUUCUGAAACAGUUCUAUCCCACAAACUUCCCAAGCCAUCCCUUUCUGUCUUGCCUAUCCCUGGACCCUUCCUUUGUCUCUGAGCAAAUGCAAGACAAAAGUAGUCAGGAGGCUGCAGAAAGAGAACACUGUAAGCCCUUCCUAGAGUGAAGCAGGCCUUGAUGCAGUGAAGGGAUAAACCUCAGGGUAGACCCCAGAAGAAUGCCACUGACGCCCUGGAAGUCCGAGGUGCCACAUGGAUACAUCUUUCACCCACUCCCCACUUGGCAGGGGGCCUCUCCUUGUGCAAGCCAAGUUUUCCAAAGGCUGGAGGGUGCUUCCCAAAGUCUAGUGCCUCAAGAUACAGGUCUUAGCCAGAUUCAGGGGUGCACAUUUGUAAUCCCAGCUACUCAGGAGGCUGAGGCAGGAGGAUUGCAAGUUCAAGACCAACCUGAGCAACUUAGCAAGACCUCAUCUCAAAAUAAAAGUAAAAGGACUAGCUAGCAUGCACCAUGUCCUGAGUUCAAUUCCCAGCAUCUCCUCCAAAAAGAUACAGGCCUCAGCUUGGCUGGGUGUCUCAGUUCCAGAAAUUUUCAGUUUCUCUCAGAAUUCAACUCAAAUCACCUGCUUGUAGAUUUGAGCUAACAUAGGCAGCCCCUAGUCCCUCUUUCCUGUACCUUCCACCCAUUCUCACCCUCUCACCACGUUAGAGCUAAGUGAAUAUGGUUUUCCAAAUAUAGUUUUGCUGCCAGUGUGUUAGGCCUUCUAAUGAGCCACAGUAAUUGCUUCUCUAUUUUCCAAAAUGAAAAUGAACCUCCGAAGAGCAGCUGGUUCACUGUAAUGUUCUCUUCCCUCCAAUUACAUACUGCAUUCCUCCAAGUCAGUCAAACGCCGGCCUUGACUGCUUCAUCUGUGAGCAGGGCCCGUGGGAGAGGCUGGAGGAAUGUGCUGAUGUCAAGGAAACAGGCCUGGAGCCUUGAAUACUUGGGUAUAUUUAAGGGAACAGGGAAGAAAGAGAAGUAGGAGGAGGAAGAUGGGAAAGAUCUGGUUUUACUUUUGAAUUCUAAGAUGUCCUAGCUUGGGUUGUGCUUUUCAGUGUAUCUGAAAGGAUAACUGAAACUUUAGACAACAGAGCAAAAAUGUCUCUGUCUUCCUCUCUUUUUCAAGAAUCAUGACAAAGCAAUAAAGAAAAGAAUCAAUAACAUAAACCCCAUAGUCUACAGGGGCAGGACACAUCUGUAAUCUGGAGCCCCCAGUGUAUGAAGAUGAGAAAAAUUGAUGAGCCACUUCAUAGAUCUACGAAAAGUCCAGCCCAAGAGGCAGAGGGUAGAAUCAAGUGAAUCAAGCCAUUCUCCCUGGAGAAUAUAGAGGAGUCUAGGGAGUUGGGAAACCAACAUUCUGCAUUAGUCAGAAAUCAGCACAGCACGGAAAAUAACUUCUGUGGUAUUAAGAUAACAAUACCAGGUACCACUUCUGGAGCACCUCAUGGUGCCUGGUCCUUUACAAACAUUCUCUCAUGCAAUGCUCCUAAGAGCAAAACACAUUAUUUUCCAAUUUUAUAGAUGCAAAAACCGAGGCUUAGAGGAACAGUCAUUUGUCCCAGAUGUCAGAGAGUAAGACACUGAACCACACAUUCUUUUUUUUUUCUUCUUAAUAGUACUAGGGAUUGAACUCAGAGACCUCACAUUGAGCUAUACUCCUAGUUCUUUUUAUUUUUUAUGUUGAGACAUGAUCUUGUUAAGAUGCUCACACAGAACUUAAGCUUGCGAUCCUGCUUCCUCAGCCUCCCAAGUAUGGAAGUACAGGUUUACACCACCACUCCCAACAUACACCAAACUAUUCUUAAUUUCAAAGUCCUACCAUGAGCCCCCACCACUUCCUCAGGUCAAUUGGAGCAUGUGAGUCACUUGUACCUAUGUACAGGUGUGGAGCCAGGUUAACAUGAUUGGCAUGGGUUAGUCAGGGGCACUGUUGUCUGGGCUCCUGCUUCACUGUCUGCUCAGCCAUUUUCUCAAGCUGGACUGUGCUUUGGAAAUGUUACAGAAACAAGCAUCACCACCUCCCUCUUGUCACUUUCUGUUGGAGCCCUCCUGCUGGAAUGAGGUACUCCCAAAAGUGGAUCCUUUCAGCUCUGAGGUAGGUGCAGGUCUCUAGAGACUAAGAUUCCAGCAAAUAUACUGGCCAGCAUCCAAGAGGGAAGAAGGUUGAAACAGUUUGGAUUUUAAAUAUCCUCCAAAGACUCAUUCAAGUUCUGCUCACUUGUCUGUGGUGCUACUGAGAAGCAGGAAAUCUUUAGGGGGUGGGGCCUCAUGGGAGGAAGUUAGGUCAUUGGUGUUGUGCCUUUGAAUAGAAUGUUGAGACUCUGGUCUCUUCCUCUCUCUCUCUCUCUGCUUACCAGCCACCAUGAGAUUACCAGAUCUCCUCCACCACAUGCUUCUGUGAUGUGCUGCCCUACCACAGACCCAGAGGAUCAUGGACUGAAAGCUCUGAAACCAUGAGUGAAAAGAAACCAUUCCUCCCUUAAGUUGAUUAUGUCAGGUAUUUUGUCAGAGCAAUGAAGAGCUAAUGCAGAGGAUGUCAAGGAAACUGCUCCUCCCUUCCUACACUCUCCUGUUUGUUACUGCCCAGCACCUGUGCUGUAACAUCCAAAGCAGGCUAUAGAACCCACAACUGUCCAGAUCCCCUCACUGGAGCCACAAAAGUCUGAAUGAAUCUGAGUCACAAAGAACCACAUCCAUUUGAUAUGCAGGUUCAGAAGUGUAAAAUAAAGUGUGCAGUGUCUGUUUGCUAGCCCCUUUCUGAUUUCUGACUUUUUGUUCAAAGAUCAAUCAUAAGAUCCAUGAGAGUCCAUGAAUAAGUGGCUGGCCACUCUGUUAGGCAUGUUGGAGAUCAAGCGUAUUGUGUCUGCCCUCAAGAAUCCAUAACCAGUCAGAGCACUCUGGCAACCACAUCUGAAAAGAGAAGGAAAGACCCCAGGCUGUGUGCAAUUAAGAGCCACUGGAAAGGUGUUCUGAGAUGUACCAUAGUUGUCCUCAGUGAUCUCCCUAAUGCUUCCACUAAGUUGUGAAUUCUUUAAAGGUUUUUGUUUUUUUUAUUUUUGGACUUCAGUGCAUAGCAGUGAGAGGGGCAUGUGCCAACUGCUCAUAAGCAUCUUUUGAAUGAAUGAAUGAGUGAGGGGACAAAUGAACAAGUGAAGGAAUGAAUAUGUUCCAAGGAAGGAAUACUGCAGAGAGCAGAGAGCUGGAGUGGUGAGGUAGUGCAUCCAGGAGGAAACAGGACUACAGCCAAACAGGGAGUUGUCAUCCAGUGACUCUGUAGACCUGAAAGAAUCUUCCAAAGGUCAAGAUGGUCUCUAGAAAGGGACUAACCUGGGACUGAGCAUGGAAGUCAGGAAGUCGGGCUUGUGAUAAACUUUGGUGAGACGGAUGGAGAUGAAUGGAUGUCAUGGGAACACCCAGCUAAGCCAUUCCAGGAGAGACUAAGCAGAGCAGUGAUGACCGUGAUUGUUAAUGUGAAACAGAAAACAGGAGAAAAAACAAGACUCUAUGUUAAAGAUGGAGCGGGAAUCAUGGCUUCUGACUAAAGGAGAACAACAAGUAGGAUGACAACGGCAACAACAACAACAACACAAGAUUUAAGUGAGCUAUCAAAGGGUCUGUUUCAACCAAGAACUCGAAAGAGAGGGCCAACCACACCUGCAAUUCCAACUACUUAAGAGGCUGAAGUGGGUGGAUCACAAGCUCCAGGGUGUAUGGAAUGCAAGAGUGGAAUUAUGAAGGCCUCUAUUGGGAUUUUAGAGGAAGGCCAGUGUGCCCCUGAAAAGGCAAUGCACAAAGCUAUUAGAGUCAAAAGCUCAAUGAAGACCCCGGAAAAUUGGAGAUGUAAGGAACAUGAAAUAUCUGCUGAGGAAAGCUGCAGGCAGCAUAAAAGAGAG